rnacentral:rRNA from 1 species
UACGAAGGGGGCUAGCGUUGCUCGGAAUCACUGGGCGUAAAGAGCUCGUAGGCGGCUCACUAAGUCGGGUGUGAAAUUUCGAGGCUCAACCUCGAAACGCCACCCGAUACUGGUGUGGCUAGAGUCCGGUAGGGGAGCGUGGAAUUCCUGGUGUAGCGGUGAAAUGCGCAGAUAUCAGGAGGAACACCAGCGGCGAAGGCGGCGCUCUGGGCCGGUACUGACGCUGAGGAGCGAAAGCGUGGGGAUCAAACAGG